GAUGAACGCUGGCGGCGUGCCUAAUACAUGCCAGUCGAGCGAACAGACGAGGAGCUUGCUCCUCUGACGUUAGCGGCGGACGGGUGAGUAACACGUGGAUAACCUACCUAUAAGACUGGGAUAACUUCGGGAAACCGGAGCUAAUACCGGAUAAUAUAUUGAACCGCAUGGUUCAAUAGUGAAAGACGGUUUUGCUGUCACUUAUAGAUGGAUCCGCGCCGCAUUAGCUAGUUGGUAAGGUAACGGCUUACCAAGGCAACGAUGCGUAGCCGACCUGAGAGGGUGAUCGGCCACACUGGAACUGAGACACGGUCCAGACUCCUACGGGAGGCAGCAGUAGGGAAUCUUCCGCAAUGGGCGAAAACUUGACGGAGCAACGCCGCGUGAGUGAUGAAGGUCUUCGGAUCGUAAAACUCUGUUAUUAGGGAAGAACAAAUGUGUAAGUAACUAUGCACGUCUUGACGGUACCUAAUCAGAAAGCCACGGCUAACUACGUG
rnacentral:rRNA from 1 species